CCCCAGUCACACGGGCGUGCCAAAGGUCCUUUGCAGUUAAGGAGCAUAGAGCUUUCAAAGGAACAUUAGUUCAAGGGAUAUGUGUCAGUGCUACACGGUCUCCGUUUAAGCUUUUAACAGAAACCGCAACGUAUCCUUAGCGCUGCCGUCGCCUCAAAAGUAAUAAAAAAUAUGGGCCCGAAUACGUCUUACAAUAAAUUUAUUGAGUAUUUUUUCUGCGAUAUUUACUUUUGUUUAAUACAUUGAAACAUCAAAACAAAAUGUACGCGUAGUUAGGUGGUUACUUUACCAAAUACAGAGGUAUUUAUUGUAAUGAUGGCCACCAUGUGCAUCGCUUCGUACACCGCAUGCUCGCGUCUAUCAUUCGUUUAUUUUAUUACUAGUAUUUAGUACUUAGAAGCUUGUUCUAAACAGGUCAAAAUUAAAGUUCCGUAUUUAUAAACAUUGUUAUUUCUGCUAUCGGACACCCUCUAGGCUCGAGAGUAUUCCCUUGAGAUUUCAAAGGACGAAUGCGAACUCCUUUGGCUCAAAGCUCCUUUC
rnacentral:lncRNA from 1 species